CGGGUCCAAGACGACACGAGAGCUUCAGGUUUGGAGUAUUUAUUACACAGAUUACAGGGUACAGGUUACACAGGUACAGCACUACAGUGGUAAAUGCUUCGCUCCACAACAACAUUCAAGUCUGUUCGUCGUACAUCGAGUUAGUCAGAGCAAGUUUUACACUCGAGUUAGUAGAAGCGAGUUCUGAUCCAGAUGCCCAGUUUGACCCAAAGAGACCCGGAUGGUUUCAUGUUCAUCUCUCAAAUCAAAAGAGGUUUUUUGUAGCUUCAGAAAAUCUCAGAACUAGAUCAUUUUAGAAUAAAAACAUAAGAAUAUCAAGAUAAAAUCUGGCUGCUUUUAACUUCUCAAAAAUAUAAAAAUAAAAUCUCUACUAUGAUGUCAACGAACGUGAAAUAAAAACAUGAAAAUUAAUUUAAAUCAGAAACUUGAACUAAAAAAAUGUUUUGCAUUUAAUGACAUUUGAAAGACUGGAGUUAACCUCAGACUGUUGUCUACUGUUGAGUUUAACUGUAAACUGAAGGCAUUCAUUCAACAUGAACCACAUCAACAGUCAGAAAACCAGAUUAUCCAGCUGUAAAAACGUCUGAACUGAUAAAAAACCGUCAAGUUUCACCCAACUGUGUCUAAAGCAGAGACAGAAACCCGUCCGGACACGACUACGGACCUCCAACGUUUGAUACCCAUCAGCACACGACUCCAGUUCCAACUGAAUCGAUACAGAACCACGAAAUCUAUCGAAGGAUUUUCACUUCCAUCCAAAUCACAACAGGAAACACUGGUUGAUGCACAGCAGGUUCUGGUUCUGAUCCUGUGUGAGGAAUCAUGGUUCUAGGAUGCAGAUGAAGAGCCUCCAUUAACGUCCCAUUCUUGUUUUUCACACGAGACCAAAUGAUCUGAACAAAAAAAGUCCAUUUGACACCUCAUGAUCAAGAACUUUAACAGCAUCUUCACGUUUACUGAGCGACGUCAGAGUUCUGCACGGAUUACAGCAAAGUCCAGAUGAUUACAGGAACCAGAGCAGACUUCAGUCUGGAGAAUCUCCUCAGCAGAAGAUCUGGACUCAGACCUCAACGUUCUGAAACGACUUCUGGAUUAUCAUAUGUCCAUGUGGUGUGACUGGAGCCUAUCCAGCUGCUGUCAGGUGAAGGCGGGGCUUACCACCAACCACCCACACCUGAGGGACAAAGAGUCAGCAGGUGACCUCAGCUUGAGAUGUGUGGGCAACACAGAAACUUUGCAGAGGUGCCAGUUGUCCUCCUUUGGAACCAUAAAGGUCUAAAAUCAGA